rnacentral:siRNA from 1 species
GGUGCAGAUCUUGGUGGU